UGCAUUUGAGCUCUUUCUGGAAAACCGUGGCAUUACAUUUUUUGUCUAUUAAUUCUCCUAUCUUAAUCUCCUCUGCUGUUCUAUAGGCUCUAAAGGAAAUUUCCACUGGAAACCUGUUCUCUCGUGUGUGGUGGUUUGGUCCAUUCCAAUACUUUGAGAGUAACGUACGUGGCAUUGUGCCUCGAAACUACCAGCUGCCAUUCUUGUUGCGAACAAUGACGUGCACCCGGGUUAAGUACAGUAAGCUGGACUCGCGUGAGUCAUGACCCAUGGCUCCUGAUUGGCUGGAGCUCUAUGAGACUCUAAAAGAGAAACUACUCUUCCCGUCAAGCCCUGCAAAACUGGUUGAGCACUGUGACGCUUAUACACAGAUCAUUUUGUAGUAUUUGAAGCAUUUCAAUGUCCCUAGCAGUAUCGUCCAUUGGUCUAGCAAACAGAAUACAGAAGAAAUAUAGGAGGGACUAGUUUUGACGUUUUUCCAUCAGGAUAUAGUGUUCAUUUAACAAAACACUGCUCAAACUUUGUCACGACUGAAGGGCUGUUCAUACAGGACAUGUUUUUGCUUUCAAAAAAGGUAUCCGUAGUGGAAUGAAACGAAAUGUUUUAAUAGUUUAACCGUUUUUAACAUGCAAAACGCAGCGAUUGUGGUCAGAGAUGUCCGUGUAGGGUAUGUUUACAUAGUAAAACAACUAAAAGUGGUGCAGAUGUGUGCCAGAACGCAUCUUGUGUGACUGGCCUCAAGCGUGUGUUUCGUUAACUCUCUUAAUGCACCAAAGUUUUAAUCAUGAGGUUAGCUCAGUCUCUUACUGCAAAAUAGUUUUCAUAAAGAAUCAAAGCUAGACUUUGGAAACCAUCCUAAUAUUAAGGAAAGUCAGAAAAGAUUUAUUUAUACAGACUGAAUUUUUACAAUAUUACGCUAAUGAUGUAAGUGUGUGUAGAUGGGGUAAUCUGUACAUUAAAUAACAUGUAAUAUUGUUGUAUACUGUGCAACAUAACAUGUUCAUCUGUCAAAGUAAAUUACCCUAAUAUGUGUAGCUUUUAACUAUAAAAGUUUGGUAAAAGAAGGUAUUCGAGGGCUUCUUCUUUAAUGUGAAGUGUGUCUGCUCAAAAUGUGCUUCUGCUAGCCAAAAGGAAUCAUCAAGUCUCUUGCUAAAUAGUCGGAAGUGUUGUAAAUGUUCUGGAGCAAGAACCAAAUAAAAACUGGUGUUAUUUGUGACAGGUAGACUGAAUGACAGGCCUGUAAAACGACUGAAUGAAUCCCUGGAGUGUGAAUGUACAACAGUUUAGAACUGAAAGGAUAAUCAGAAGCACUUUAAAAUGAUGCCCAGCCACACACUUCUCCAACACACUGCACUUCAGUGACCUGCACGCUAAUAAACCCGGAGGGCAAAAACACCAUUUUAUUAUUCCCCCAAGUAACAGCCUGACUGAUGAUGAUGGUUUAAUGCUUUGUCUUUCAAAUGAAACUGACAGUGGAAUCAGACCUGUGAAUGUGCGACGUACCAAUAUGCAGCCAAAAUGUAACAUUUAGUGUGGAUAUGGAUGGCUGCUAUAUGCCACAUAAUUAUAUUUGUUAAUUUUUUUUUUUUUUCUCGACACCAUGGAAAAGUCAUAAAAACCAGUGUGGGGAUAUAGAAGAUUUGAAGUUCUAAAUAAUAAAGUGUUUAUUUAAUUGGGAAAUCCAGAUUGUUAAGCUGUUCAUUUAGCGUUGUGUUACACUGCCAACUGAUUGACAUGAGAAGUGAACAGAGUGUUGGCUUAUGACUAAAUGCAUGUUGUAUUUUGUUGUUGUUUUGUUUCCUUUUCAUUGUCAAUCAUAGAUCCAGCAUUGUCAAAUUACUUUGUCGAAUGUAAACCUGUGCUAAACAAUCUCUUAAUAUGAGACGGGAGUGGGGCAGAUAUUGAAUAAAAAAUUUAAUAUUCUGUAUUGUCUGUAUUUUUUCCCAUUACUGUAUUCUGUAUUCUGUAUUGUUCUUCAUUAGCCCUUACUGCCUGACAAUGACUUUUUAGAUGUAGAUGGUUUAGAUCUAGUCAUAGCAUCACUCAUCCUGAGAGUAUAUUGAGUGGAUGUUGACUAUUCCACAAGUAUAAUAGCAAGUAUAGUGUUUUUGAAAUAUUCAUGAAGUAAGCCAUAGUCGGACAUAUUUAAUGAUUCUUUAUAUUAAUAUUUUUAUCAUGUUUGUCAUUUUGUUCUUUUGCUGCCAGAUUUACUAACGGCUUGCACCAGCACAAACCUCUUGGCAAUAAAAAACUACCAUCGGGAUUUA